UCCGGUUUGUCACCGGCAGUCCCAUUAGAGUGCUCAACUGAAUGUAGCAACUAAUGGCAAGGGUUGCGCUCGUUGCGGGACUUAACCCAACAUCUCACGACACGAGCUGACGACAGCCAUGCAGCACCUGUGUUACGGCUCCCUUUCGGGCACACCUCCAUCUCUGGAGGCUUCCGUACAUGUCAAGGGUAGGUAAGGUUUUUCGCGUUGCAUCGAAUUAAUCCACAUAAUCCACCGCUUGUGCGGGUCCCCGUCAAUCCGACCAACACCUAGUUCACAACGUUUAGGGCGUGGACUAC
rnacentral:misc_RNA from 1 species